GGGAAUGACACCGGAUUAAAAAAAUACUGUUAAAUGAUUAUCAUUUCUCUUUUUUAAAGAAUAUUGACUUAAUUAGAUCUACGCCUUCCAAAUUUCAUUCAAUUCACUUCGUGUCUAUCUCUGAAAUGUUUAUAUAACUGUAUACCUGUUAAAUUAUAAGCGUGUGCCCAAUAAUUGAAUGUGACAACAAAUAUAUACCUUCCAGUAUGUCAAAGCUAAUCAGAGAUUAAGAGCAUUUAAUUUAAACGUUAAAGAGGUAACGGUGUCCUAAAAGACGAUGUGGACAUCUUAGUGUUAUCUAUGCGUUUUGUAUGGAAAACAAAUUAGCAUCGCGUCAACAGCUGUUGUGACUGUGUGUAUAAAACGAGACUGUGGACUAAGAGCCACUGCACAUCGCCUUAGUACAUCUAAUCAACACGUAGGUAUCAGCUCCUGUCUAAGGGAAAAGGUGGGUACACACGGUGACACUUGUGCGGGUCGAAAUUCCAGCUGUGUCAUCUUUUGACGUCGAGCCUGGUUAUGGGCGGUUCGUUCACAAUGAGAUUUCGAAGUUGUGUGACGUAUCUGGUCUUUCUGACGUGUGAUAAGUCUCAUUGUUUGCACAUUGUAAGGGUGUGGUCAUGUUAAACACUGCCAUACGAUCGUCAACGGACGGAAAAGUAGAACACUGUAAAUCGCUCUCCUAUACCAAGCGAGAUGAGCAAUAAUCUCUUGUCAACCAAGGACACCAACAAAAGCUUGUGGUGAACUCAUCUAGAAGAGCGAUUAGACGUGCUUCUCCUUAUCGUCCGUUAUCGUUCGUGAAGUAGCUCUUUGCUUGAUUUUACCCACACAGUGGUUUGGCAAAGUCUGGGAAUUGAUUUGUGCUGUUGUUUUUAUUUUUGUAUUUCCUCACCUAGCAACGAGACAAGCUAACAACAGCAUGAGGCUCUCGUUUCUCCCGUCUCUUCUGCUGGUUCUUUUCCUCGUCCUUCACGAACACGUAGGGAGGACGUCGGGGUGUGACCACAAACCUGGGUGGAAAAGGGAUCCAAGGUUCCUGUUUGGCUCUGAUGAAAAGGACAGUUUGACAAAGCAACACGGAACAACACUCUCCCUAUACGUUGAGGACUGAUUCACCGGUUUUGGGAUGUGAGACAAAAGACGCAGUCUAAGACCAAGAGACACCAACGAUCAGCAAACUGCCAAACUUACAGACGUAGAGGGAGACUGGUGUUGGUAUUGGAAUCGAUCAAAGAAUAAUGCUCAUCGGAAGGAAGAAAUAACACUACGAGAAGACAGAGAGACUGUUACAGAUUGGACACAGACUGUUCUGUUGGUUGUCAAUAAAACAAAAUGAAACAUU